rnacentral:rRNA from 1 species
GAUGAACGCUGGCGGCGUGCCUAAUACAUGCAAGUCGAGCGAACGGACGAGAGGCUUGCUUCUCUGAUGUUAGCGGCGGACGGGUGAGUAACACGUGGAUAACCUACCUAUAAGACUGGGAUAACUUCGGGAAACCGGAGCUAAUACCGGAUAAUAUUUUGAACCGCAUGGUUCAAAAGUGAAAGACGGUCUUGCUGUCACUUAUAGAUGGAUCCGCGCUGCAUUAGCUAGUUGGUAAGGUAACGGCUUACCAAGGCAACGAUGCAUAGCCGACCUGAGAGGGUGAUCGGCCACACUGGAACUGAGACACGGUCCAGACUCCUACGGGAGGCAGCAGUAGGGAAUCUUCCGCAAUGGGCGAAAGCCUGACGGAGCAACGCCGCGUGAGUGAUGAAGGUCUUCGGAUCGUAAAACUCUGUUAUUAGGGAAGAACAUAUAUGUAAGUAACUGUGCACAUCUUGACGGUACCUAAUCAGAAAGCCACGGCUAACUACGUGCCAGCAGCCGCGGUAAUACGUAGGUGGCAAGCGUUAUCCGGAAUUAUUGGGCGUAAAGCGCGCGUAGGCGGUUUUUUAAGUCUGAUGUGAAAGCCCACGGCUCAACCGUGGAGGGUCAUUGGAAACUGGAAAACUUGAGUGCAGAAGAGGAAAGUGGAAUUCCAUGUGUAGCGGUGAAAUGCGCAGAGAUAUGGAGGAACACCAGUGGCGAAGGCGACUUUCUGGUCUGUAACUGACGCUGAUGUGCGAAAGCGUGGGGAUCAAACAGGAUUAGAUACCCUGGUAGUCCACGCCGUAAACGAUGAGUGCUAAGUGUUAGGGGGUUUCCGCCCCUUAGUGCUGCAGCUAACGCAUUAAGCACUCCGCCUGGGGAGUACGACCGCAAGGUUGAAACUCAAAGGAAUUGACGGGGACCCGCACAAGCGGUGGAGCAUGUGGUUUAAUUCGAAGCAACGCGAAGAACCUUACCAAAUCUUGACAUCCUUUGACAACUCUAGAGAUAGAGCUUUCCCCUUCGGGGGACAAAGUGACAGGUGGUGCAUGGUUGUCGUCAGCUCGUGUCGUGAGAUGUUGGGUUAAGUCCCGCAACGAGCGCAACCCUUAAGCUUAGUUGCCAUCAUUAAGUUGGGCACUCUAAGUUGACUGCCGGUGACAAACCGGAGGAAGGUGGGGAUGACGUCAAAUCAUCAUGCCCCUUAUGAUUUGGGCUACACACGUGCUACAAUGGACAAUACAAAGGGCAGCGAAACCGCGAGGUCAAGCAAAUCCCAUAAAGUUGUUCUCAGUUCGGAUUGUAGUCUGCAACUCGACUACAUGAAGCUGGAAUCGCUAGUAAUCGUAGAUCAGCAUGCUACGGUGAAUACGUUCCCGGGUCU